GGGGUCAGGGUGUGCCCCUGGGCUGCCUCAAGGGGCUGCUGGUAAGGGCAUGUUUGCCUGUGCGGCUAUUGAGAAGGUUCCAGGAAAUGUGUCCCACGGCAUAUGGAGCUUCAGAUGCUUUAGGUUUGUUUUGUGGCCUCAGUUACAUUUUGUGUGUCCAUUUUGCAGACCUGGCUGACUGCAGUGUUCCCAAGCAGGUUACCUUGGGAUCAGUAGCUUCCCUGCCAGCUUCCCACAUUCCCUUUAUUUGCAAUUCCUUGUCUCUCAACCAGAAUUGCCCUCCUUCCUCAAAGCCCAUACCUUACUCUCAUUUCUUAUGAAGCUGGCCAUUCUACAUGGGCAAAAAAUACUGAUUUACAGCACUGAUUUUUUUCUACUUUGCUGCCACUUGUAAUUAACCUCUGCAAAGCUUAAAAGGUGUUGUAUAGAAUGACUGAACAGCUCUGUUGGAGAGUAUUUCAGAAUGAGCUACAUUGUCUUGCUUGCAUUAAGAAAAUGAGCCUUUACUCAAGCUGGCCCAAAAGUGGCCCAAGCUCAUCCAGUUUGGAAUGAAAAUCCUUGAGGAAAAUUAAUUACCUAGUGCCAAGAAAACAAUUUACGCUUGGGUCGCUCCUGCAAUCCUAAACUUUUCUUUUUAUGUCCUCUAAAAUAUUCCACCAAAGAGAAGAAAAAUGUUCAUCUAAAUGUAUACAGGUAAUAGAGCCCAGGACUUCUUUUAGGAACAGGAAAGAAGAUGUUGACAAAAAUCAGCAUAAGGGCAGAUAAGGAUCUCUGUCAAGAGCAAUCUCCAUCUCUGCCCUUCUCUGUCAAACACCGAGGCUCUCCAGCUUCCGAGGGCCGAGGCCUUCAUCAUGCAGCAGGUUUCAGUCUGCUGGCCAGCACAGCAAUGCCAUGUCUGCUGCCAGUAGCCCAUCCCCUGGGAGAGGGUCUAGGCAUAUGUACCUUGCUGCUCUCAUGCACCAUCUCUGUGUCUUACGAGAGCUGUGCAGUCUGGAACCUGUCUUUCCUGUUGCCCAGCAUGACGUUUUUGGGGCCUUGAUGUCUGCCAGAGAUUGACACAAACCUUUGCUCCCAGUGCCAGGCCUCCCAGUGAGCCAGGCCAAGGAGACGGAUCAUCCCACCAGUUCUGGUCUUACGAGUGACAAAGACCUGAGGGACAGCUUUGGAAAGGUAAGGGAUAAGGACAGGGAUGAGCAGACUUCCUUUGCAGUGGCUGUUUAGUGCUUGGCCCAAAAUGUGCCUGAAAAUCAGUCUUCCACUCUUGGGGCAUGGGGAUUCUCUUGGGAAUAUAUUUGACAGCUACGGCACAAUUGCUUGCCUGUUUCCAGUUGUGCCAAAGUCACUGGUUUGCAGAUGGUGCUAAGGUCAGGCCUGAAGCAUUCUUUAUGUGCAAAGGCCAUUUUAGAGAAGGUCUGAAGGGCAGAGCAAGCUACACACCAGUGAAUGUGGGCAAAGGGCACCCUGUGAAGCAAAGAUUCUAGUGUUGACUAUAAGCAAAGCUGCAAAAUAAAAUGGGAGUAUUUCAUUUUUCCUGGUUCCCUUUCUGGUUGUAUCUCACAGCCCUCUCAUUCUCAAAUUUUCUGCUCAUUGAUAUCAGUGUUUCUGCAACUUGGUUUUGCAUGACUCCUCCUUUUGGUCUCCUGGUCUCAGAGACCAAGGCAUUCAGAGUCCUUCACAGCUAUAUCCUUCAGAAGCCAGGAAUUGAGAAACAGCUGCAAUUCCUGGCCAUGAGUGUUAAGCAACAGCUAAUUACCCCUCUUUGCUCCAUAUUCCACAUGGUUUUUAUUCUCCUGCCAUGGCCUGUAGGAACUGAACUGCGUGCUCACUGGUCAUGGGAGCUCUUCAUUUGUCUUGGAGCAUUCCUAUGACUUUCAUGCUCCAAGCAGGGCUUCCUGUCCUAGGCUGCAGUUGGAGCAGUGUAAGGUUGUGGCACUGAAGUGUUCCACCUCCCUGUGUGUAAUUGCCAAGGUGAGGAUGGGAGACAUUCUCCUGAAACUAUUGGAAUGUAUAUGGAGCUGGAUUAAAGUCUAUGGGCUCUGUGCUCCUGAUGAGAUGUUGUGCCACGUUUGUGUGUCUCUGCUUACAGUCUGUGAUGUAUUUCCAUUGCAGCUAGAUCUGUGCUGCUUUGUGCAAGGUGGCUGAAGAGAACUUAGAGCCGAAGGACGUGGAGUUUUUUCAGAAUGAGAUGAAGAAAGGGAGAGAAGAGCAAACAUCCUUGCAGCUGCCUCCACAGACAGUUGAGCCCAGGGAUGCAGCUGAAGCAAGUCAGUGGUGGCUACACUUGAGGUCCUUUUUGACCCCUUGCUUGCCCUUUGCACAGUGCUGCAAUCAGACUGGGCAGCUGUUCUGCUUGCAUGCUUUACCCAACCACCUGUCAAUGGCACAGCUUCCAGUGUGCAGAGAAAACAGCCUGGUAAUGCCUUGAGGAAGAAGGUCUUGAGGAAGCAGGACAAGGUGCCCAGUAUGCCCAUGGUCCAUGAGGAAGACAGAGUCCCAUGCAACUCCUCAGGUAAGCCUGCUCCAUGGCAGCUUUUUCCCACAUGAGCACAAGGAGCACA